AUUGAACGCUGGCGGUAUGCUUUACACAUGCAAGUCGAACGGUAACAGGGUGCUUGCACCGCUGACGAGUGGCGAACGGGUGAGUAAUGCAUCGGAACGUACCCAGUCGUGGGGGAUAACGUAGCGAAAGUUACGCUAAUACCGCAUACGUCCUGAGGGAGAAAGCGGGGGACCGUAAGGCCUCGCGCGAUUGGAGCGGCCGAUGGCGGAUUAGCUAGUUGGUAGGGGAAAGGCCUACCAAGGCGACGAUCCGUAGCGGGUCUGGAGAGGAUGAUCCGCCACACUGGAACUGAGACACGGUCCAGACUCCUACGGGAGGCAGCAGUGGGGAAUUUUGGACAAUGGGCGAAAGCCUGAUCCAGCCAUGCCGCGUGAGUGAAGAAGGCCUUCGGGUUGUAAAGCUCUUUCAGCCGGAAAGAAAUCGCGCAGGAUAAUACUCUGCGUGGAUGACGGUACCGGAAGAAGAAGCACCGGCUAACUACGUGCCAGCAGCCGCCGCCGUAA
rnacentral:rRNA from 1 species